CCUGGAGGCUGUUGCUCGGUAGUCUGACACUGCCUGACCCCAUGCCGAACUCAAGGUGAAACGCCGUAGCGCCGAUGGUAGUGUGGGGUCUCCCCAUGCGAGAGUAGGGAACUGCCAGGC
rnacentral:rRNA from 1 species